ACUCGGGUUUGAGUGAGUAAGUAGUCUGGUGACAGUUUCGAAAGUAUCGUCUUGCCUGCCGCGCUGAAAGCCUCGACCGUUCCCCUCUACCAGAGUCAUUUAAAGUCUUGAUUCGUUAUCUUUAAAACUCCGUACAGUUUUCCAUGCUGUGGUUUCCGUUCUGCAACUUGCCAAAAAAAAAAAAGAAAGGAAAGGAAAAUUUUUUAUUUUAUUUUAUCUUAUUUUAUUUUAUUUUAUUUUAUUUUUGCUUUGUUGUUGUAGAAUUUGUUAGAGAAUCGUGACCACCCUGGCUAGUAUCUGCGGCAACUAGGUAAUGAGGCGGAGAGUCCUAGCUCGGAAUUGUUAACUUCUGCCUCCCCGGCUUUGGUGCGUUACGUGUAUCCCUGGAUGUGUUUUGGCAAAGCAGGGCCCGCAGGGGGCUACACGCUUCAGGGGAAAGCGAGGAGUCUGGCUUGGAGAAGGUACUCAACGGGGAAAACUAUGAGAACCAGGCAGGAAACGUUAGGUAGGACUUCAAAGACUUGGAUAUAAGUAUUAAAAGGAAUAGAGGGAACAUAUUAGGGGUACUAAACCUUGAGCGUUAGAGGAACUCUUUGGCUUAUUUGGGAAAGAGGGGAAAAAAAGAAAGACAUUUGCAACAGGUUUGCUAUGGUACAGGUUACUCUCCAUUGUAAUAGUAGCAACUAACACCUGAGAAGUUCUGAAAAACCCCUAAGUAACAGUUGCACAUUUGAGACAAAUUGAUAGCUUCCGUAUACUCAACAUUGUUGAUCGGGUUUAAAAGUCAUUUUAAAGUGAUUGUUAGGAAGAACCACUGUCUUACUAAGGAAGAUGUCCUCCAUAAAAGUGUUUAUUAUGGGGCACCCACCGGGCUGGCUCAGUAGGUGGAGCAUGCAACUCUUGAUACCCUGGUUGUAAGUUUGAGCCCACGUUGAGUGUAGAGGUCAGUUUAAAAAGAAUAAUAAUAAAAUCUUUUUUUUUUUAAGCCAUUUACUGUGAAUGCUAAUUUAGAGUAAAAAGGGUUAGGAAAUUACUCAUUUGGUACAAUAGAGCUUUUAGUUCCUGAGGAAUUUACUAGGUAAAGUUUUUGUUGUUGCUGUGAUACAUUAUAUGAAAGAUGAAGUGAGAACUCCCAAUUUUCUUCAGAGGACAACAAAGUUGACAGGAUGACUAACUUUUGUGGGAAAAGUGUGGUUUUUGAAGCCAGGCAUGCUCAGGUCAAAUCCUGUCUUCACCACUUACUAUCUGUGGGCAGGUUAGUUCUAGGACUGACUUUUCUCAUCUGCAGAAAAAGGAACAUUAUAGAUAAUUGAAAGGCGUUUGGCUCAUAGCUGUAAAUGGUAGCUGUAAUCAAAUGGUUAUGACUGUGAUCCUUAGGAGACAGCUUCAGUGUUUGAUUAACAUGAAGCUUACUUCGUGAGGUCUGUUUUCUAAAGUUACUCAAGUGAUAGUGAGCAGGAAGUGAUGUUGAUGUUAAUGGUAGAGUAGUUAAUGGAACAAUGUGUUGAUAACCCACCAACAAGAUGCCUGCUACUGUGCUAAGUGGGUUGGAAAGAAAAAAACAAUUCUGCUCUUGAGUAAAUUAAGUGUUGACGGUGACAACAUGUACUCUUUGAGUCAAGAAAUGCUUACUCUCACUUUUAACUCAAGUAAAACUUGGAAUGAUUUGUUUGAAGAGAUUUGUUUGAAAUGAGCUUUGAAGAAUGAAUUGAGUGGGGAUUGAAGUAAAGUGUCUGGGAAUAAUGUAUGUCAUAACCAGUGAUGAGGAGGUGGUCCAAGAAGGAGUGCUUUUGAGAAAUAAUGAGCAAUCAAGCUUGGAUUGAGUCUUAUGAAGGAUUUAGAAAUUGAAUGACAUAAGCCAGAAAAUUCCAACUAUAAGAUUUUACACUGAGCAACCAAAAUCAUGGAUAGGAAUUCAAAGGCUCUGGAGGGAAUAAUUGAGCUCUCUGGGAAGUGGUGAGAUACAAGAUAGGACAGAUCCUUGCAGAACCCUAAAUUCCUGGGUCUCUUUGGGGGAACUAUUUAUUCUUAACAGUUCUGCAAAACCAUGAUACGUGUAAAGUCUGUGAUUGAAAGUGUAGGUUGAAAUGAGGAAUUGGGAAGUUAUUUCAGAGAUUCCAAGUCAGAUAUGACAAACUGGCACACCUGGCAGAAUUCAGGAAUCACUGCAGAGGAAAGUGCUGAGCAAAGGACCAAUAUAGUAUAGAUGGCUUUCAAGCAAAAAUUGACUGAACUAGAUUGCAGAAGUGCAGAGGAGUCUGAAAGGAAAGAGUACAUACAAAAGGAAAAGAUGGCAUAAUUUAGCAACACGUGUAAGCUUAUGGUGCUGGACACUAAGGAUCGUAGGUCUCCUUGAGAAGCUUUUUUUUUUUUUUUUAACAUACUUGGGUUAUUAGUAAUCGAAGAACUAAAGCAGAUUUUGGAUGGAUAGAAUUUCGAUGAAGUGCUGAAGAGUUCAAAGUUGGAGAAUUGAGAUACAUCAGUAGACCGUAGAUUUGUUUGGAAUUAAUUAGGCAAAAUGUACUGGUAUAACAGAGUUCACCAAAUGAGGAAGCAGAUGAGCUCUCAUUUAGUGUCCAGGAGAGGAUGUUCUGGAUCCUCUUGGCAUUUUAAAAAGUUGUGUAUGCAGUAGUUCAUUGCCUGCCAUUUUAUUAUUACAGGCAACUCUAAUCUAGGUUGUCUUAAUUUUAGAGAAUUCCUAAAAAGCAGUUCAGUUGGGACCACCACAUGAUGUAGAUCUAGGGCCAUAUAGACUGCUUCAGAUCCUGCCACACUAACUCCAGCAAGAGCCACUAUGAGAUCAGAGGUCAAGGAAACAAUAGCAUUAGCUGUACCUGUCUAUAGCCUUCCAACUCUGGUAACUUUUGCUGCCUUUGAUUAUUUGUGGAUUUUGUGGGCUUUCUUUUUUACAAAUAAAUCACUUCAUGUGAAGUGUAGAAGGUUUUUAAUACAGUAGUUUCUCUUGCCACAAAAUCUUGUGGUUAUAGACAUAGAUCUUUAUAUCUUACUUUUUCCAUAUCUUAAUUAAUAGAUUUAACUUAUUACACCCUAAGCUUAUUUUGCUUGCCUAGUAGCUGGACAGGUAAACCUCCAAAUUAUUGAGGGUUUUUUGUUUGGUUUUAAGUUGGCUAACGGCAUGAAUUAAAACUCUCCAGAGAAACUUGGCUGUAUUUUCACACCUGUGCUUCAUAUUAUAGUGAAAAUGUGAAUAGCCGGAAUUGUCAGGGGAUGUCCUGGUUUGUUUAAUUGGUUCACUACUUAAAUAUUAGCAGGAAGUGUUUGUUUUCACCCUCCUUGAAAAUUCCUUCAAGUAGAAGGUACCUUAAUUUUUUUUUAAUAUGUUAAGACUCGCUCAGUGAGUCAAAUCAUUGUUUUUGUCCCUGAUCAAUAGAGAGCAUUGUUAGAUUUUAGAUAUUGAGAUGAAUCCCUUCCAACCCCAGACCCUACACAGGGAUUUUCUCUGAGUCUUUGAUGGGAGCUUGUCUUAUUUAGUUUCUUGUCUUUUCUUUUAAAAGGUGCCAUAACGGAAAUAUAAUUAGUUUAGUGUUCCAGGUUAUUGGUUUCUGAUUAUUGAACUAUGGGAGAUUAUCUUCACCCACCACCAAAUAGCAGAUAAAUCAGAUAAAUGUUUUAUCAUUUUUAUGAAAAUGGUACAACUAAUGAGUGCCAGGAAUGACAAAAGGCAAAUACUCUAUUUAAGAAGACCUCACCACGUUUUGUCCACAGGCAGUUUUGCUCUCAAAGAUAAUGACACUCGAAUCCUCGUUGUCCAAGGUUUUGAUUUUAUGAUUAUCUAAGAUGAGAUUAAAAGUGUUUUUUUUUUUAAGAUUUUAUUUAUUUAUUCAUGAGAGAAAGAGAGAGGCAGAGACACAGAGGGAGAAGCAGGCUUCCUGCAGGGAGCCUCAUGCAGACUGGAUCCCAGACCUAGGAUCAAGCCCUGAGCCCUAGGCAGACGCUCAACUGCUGAGCCACCCAGGCGUCCCUAAAACAGUUUUGUUUAAAGGAGCUCUUGAACGACUUUGUUUACACGUAGUUAAAAUUAAAGACCCAUUCUUAAUUCCUAUAAUGUUCCAAAAUAGCAUGUAUUUAUUUCUGAUUAUAAAAUUUUUACGUAGGUAUUUUUUAAAAAUUUUAAAUACAGAGGACAGAAAAAAAUCAUCCAAAUAUGGCACUGUCUGCCCUUUGAGACUCUUUUUUUCAUGUAUCCAUGCACUUCUUAUGCCUCCCCAUCUUUUCUACAGACUUGGGGUCAUACUGUAUGUCUUGUUUUGUAAACCUUUUGUUUCUACCUAUGAGCCUGAUCCUUUACCUUUGUCAAUAAGUAUUCUACAACUUGAUUCUUAAUGGGUUCCCACCUAUCAGUGUUAUCUAAUGUACAUAAUUAAAACCAUGUUGCAAGACAUUGGAGUUGUCUUUGGUUUUUUGCUAAUUUAUGCUUUUAUAGCACUGUGGUAAAUUUCCUUUAAAAAAUCUUGGGGGUAGAUUCUUCAGUGAACUUCUUGGAGUCAAAGUAUAUACACAUCUUUAAGGCUUUUUCUAAUUACUGGUUUCCAUUACUCUCUAGGCAAAGAGUAUAUUUUCACCUGUAAUGUUUAAGAGUUCCUGCUUUUCUGAACUCUCCAGUAGCCUUCAUCAUAAUUUUUUAAUACUGUGAUUUUUAAAUUAGAAUGUUUAAAAUUGUGUAUGAGGAAAUUAUCUUGCAGCCUUUAAGGCUCAGCCAUUUAGCUUACCAAGCAUAACAGAUUCAGGAACUUUUUUUAUUUUAAAGAACUGUUUGAUUAGAAAAUAAAUAUUAAAAUCCUUUUAAAAUAAGGUCUUAUGUGCAGUUGUAUGUCCCACUUUCUCUACCUAAUUUAUCUUGUGUAUUUUUGCUGUUACAUAAAAAUCUUACAUCAUUUUAACGGCUGCAGAAAAAUAAUUGUAUGGCUGAAUCAUGAUUUACCCAACCAUUCCUCUUAGGUCAUCUCUAAAUUCUGUUUGUUAAAAUAACGCUAUGCUGGGUAUCAUAUGCAUAAAAUUUUGUAUUUUUAUCAUUCCUUAAGACAGAUUCCGUGAAGUAAAAUUCAUGUGUCACAGCAGGAAAAGAACAUUUUCAAGGCUCUCAUUGCAUAUAAUGCCAAAUAUUUUUCAGAAAAGCUGUGUACCAGUUACUCUUGUCCCAACAGUGUACAGCUCCUGUCACAACAGCCUCACCAGCAUCGGGCAUACAUGUUGUUUAAAAUCUUUGCUAAUUUCACAGGUGCAAGUGGUCUCAAGUGUCUUAACCAAGAAGUUUUUUUUAAAUGAGUAAGAAAUAAUGAGAAAUAGGGCUAUGGAUUGAGUACCAUUCUUUAUUAGUAGUAUAACCAUGACAAAUGUGACCAAGUUGGUUUUGUAUUGCAGUCUCUUGAAGUUAGCCUACAUCCAAAAUUAAUGUGUUACUUUUCUUCCUAAGACUUGGGUAAUUUUUAAAUUUCUGUCAUUUUGAAAAAUCGGUGCCAAGAGACAAUACCGUACUGAAAUUUUGACCAAAUGUUGCUAGCGUAAAUUCCCUGGCUUGAGACUUCCACUCCAUGGUUCUGGUUUCCCAGUUUGUGAUGAGAAUAAACAUUGUCUGUACUUAUUCAGCCAAGUCAUUUUAAACCCCUGUUCCUCAGUUUAAUGUCUUUCUCCUCCCUUCCUCAUUGAGGUAUCAUAUGAAUAAAAGGGUCAUGUGAAGUAUUUGUCCCUUUUUAAAAGAUAAGCAUAGGAUGUAGACUAGAUAAAAAUGUGGUUUGGGUUCCCAGUAUUUCUGGAUGCUUCCAGGUAACUUAAACAGAAAGUUGUACUUUGAGCUUCUCUAAGAAAGGUGCUCCUAGUAUGUGAGUAGAUGAAUACAAUUGGGGAUGGCCUUUAUAAAUUUGUAUGCUAACACUGAAAUUUCAAAACUUGAAAAAAAAGUAUUAACAGCAUGCACUUGUGUGGUUUCUUUUUCAACUGCGUACACCAAAGCACUUUAUUACCAGGUGUUGUCUCUAGUUUGUACUGAUGGGGAAACUAAGUCAUGGGCUAAUUAAGUACCUGGCUCAAGGUUACAGAGUGAGUUAUUGACAGCUCUGGAAGCUGAAGCCCUUUCUUAUUCCCAUACCAGCUACAGCAUGAGCAGUGGCAGUCACAGCUUCUCUCGGGCUCUUUCAUUCCAGAUGGUUCAGUUCUGUUGUUCUGCCAUUUGCCUCCAAGGAUGAGAAGGUAGUUAGGUUCCACAGCCUGUUUGGUCUAUUUAGUCUUUCUACAGUCUUCAACAAGCUAAAAAGUUACUGCCAACAAUGAGGCAAGUGGUUGUUUCUGUGAUGUUGGCUCUAGACAGAAGGAAACUCUAGUGAUACUCCUUCAGGGUAUUCUUUGAAGACCUGUAAGAUGGUGUCAGCUUUGUCACGGCUGACUGGGGUAGGAUUUGUGCAAGCACAUGCAGUUAAGUGAUCUCUGUCCCGUUAUUGCGAGGGGUGUCUGGUCUUGGAGUAACCUGAAAGCAAAGGAUCAGGCUGUGCUCUGGAUUUGCAUGCCCAUAUGUUGAGGAAAUGCCCUACAUGACCUUUCCUGCGUGUUGAAAUGAAAGUCUGGAGGUCUCAGAGCUGCAAAUGAUACCUGAAGACGCACCCAAAGGACACUUGUUAUCCUUCCAUCAAGUCCCCCAGCCACAUCUUUAGGCCUGGAUGCCAGAAUGGGGGGCAUUCAUAAACAGACUUCCAAGACCUAGAGAAAGCGGGGAGACCAAAGGAGGGAGGUCUGAAUCCGCCCUUCAGGAAUGGAAAGGUGAGGAGGAGACUGAGGCAUGGGAGUCAGGAACCACAGACCAGAAGCACUGACUUUGAGAAAAGUUAUUUCAUGUGGAUGAAAAGAAGCUAUUGAUUCAUUAAUGUGAAAAGAAUUUGAAAAUGUUGUUAAAAUACUAAAUGAAAUAAAUGACUGAUUUCAAGGGAAGGGCAUCCCCCCGAGAAAUAGCAUAGGAAGUGGCAUCUUUAACCAAAAAGGAAAAGAAACUGACUGCAACCCAGGGACUGUGGAGUGGUUAUGAGGGAGAUGGGAACAGCCAAGAUGGUCCCAGAGGUAUAACUUCUAAGAGGCUUUAACACCUGUUACCCACUCAUAGUGCCAUUUUAGAGGUAAGUAUGAACUGGUUUUGUUUGUGGCUUUUGUGUGGAAUCAAGUAGUGCUGUCUGUUGAGUGUAAACCUUUAUUUCAUUUAGGUAUGAGUAACAGAUACAGUAUUCCUAUCUUAAUGUCUCAAGAGGUUUUUGGGUUUUUUUUUUUUCUAAAUUGGUAAUUUCAUCUCUUGAGAGUUUUUUUUUUUAUAUAUACAUAUAUUUUUUAAGUCUGUGAUUGUCUUCAUGAACCUGUAGUGUGUUGUCAGGGAAUAGUUGGCCCCUUUUCUUGUGGGAUCUUUUCAUAGCCUCUUAGUGUUGAUAAAUGUCAGAAAAUUGAAAAGCACACAGGUGUGAUUGUUUGCCUCUUAUCCCCCAUGAAGAAAGCAGCCAUGUUGACUUUAAAAUGUCAGUGAAAUACAUUUUGUUGUUACAGGGGGUUACGGUUAGAAUGGUGAUCCACAAACUAUUCAGGAGUAUGCUGCUUUCUGAGAGUAGUCCCAUUUUAUAGGGUGGAAAUAUGAAAGUGAAAGCCUAAUGAAAGUGAAAUCGCUUAGCAACCUUACGUUCAUUUUGAAACAGUUUCGGAUAGUUGAAAGAAUUGGCAGAUAGGCCUACAGAAUAGUUAUAAAGUAGACUAAAUAUGAACUUGAUGCAGGUUCCUCUCUACUUCCUGUUCUGGAGGAAUUUUGUUUUUAUUGCUUAGUAUUUAGGAUAUUGAUUGUUUCUAUAAUAUUCACCCCAGUAUGUGAACAUUCCUUUAGAGAUGGGCUGGCAUUCCUUUAAUGAUGUCACCUUUCUCUGUCUUCCUAGACUGGUGUGAAAAUUUUUGAUGAACUAUAAAAUUUGGUAAUUUUGAUAGGUUUGGUUCCACUAGUAGCUUAGAGAAUAAGUGUUCACAACUUACUGGUCUCAGUACCUAUCAGAUGCAGAAAUGGUAUUUCUUACCAUUUAGUAUUUGUCAUAAGAUGCUAAUACUCAUAUGGGCAUUUCUCUUCUACAGCACAUAAUUUGAUAAAACUGAUUUUCUGUGCUUCUAGAGCUUGCAUUUCUCAAACUGCUCUUUGGACCACAUCUUUCUGUUAGUAUUUGGGAGACAGUAGCUCAUGAUGAUGAGUGUUGACUUUAGGCUAGGAAGGAUUCCAGGUGUUGGUUAGCCUUGGCAAGUUCUUCCCUGCUCUGAGUCUUAGUGUCUUCAUCUGUGAGCUAACAGUAAACCUCAGAGUUGUGAAAAUUAUUACAAAGGAGUUUGAAGAAGGAAAGGAUUCUGGUGGGCUGGAGUAGUCAUGUUAAUAGUUGUUUGGAAUUAAAAUUAUGUCAGAUCUUAGAUGCCUGUCAUCUGCAAAGUACUUUCCUAGUUGCUGCUAUAAUCCUGGUGUAGUUGCAAGUCUGUAAACCUUAUAGUAUGCUUUGAUUUCUGGUCCAUUUUUUUUCCAUACCAUUCAUGCUUAUAUUUUUUGGUCCAGUCACCAUUCCUUAUAAAAUUAAUCAAAUGCAUUCUUAAAUAUAUAAUUUUGUCAAUAUCCAUUCACAUCUACCACCUCUAGGCCUGACUCUCUGUCAUCUCUAUGCUGGUCUAAUUUUUGCUGAGCCUUAAAACCAAAGACAGAUUCUAGGGGUUGUUGUGGGACCUCCAGAAUGGGGAUUGCACAGAAUAAUCUUAUUUUUCCUCUAUUCUUCUAGUCUGUUAUGUUCUGAACCCACACAUGUUUUCGGAAGGACCAGAUGGCUGACACUGGCUAAUGGGAACCAAAAGACAAGAGUGAAAGUAACCUGGUUGUCACAUACCCCAAGCUUAGAGGUGCCUCACCUUGCCCCAAGAUCAAUUUCUUUUUUUUCUCUGGAGACUUUACCCCACUUAUCAAAAAACUUGAAUAUAACCUGGCUUAUCUGAGGUUAGAUUAUCAAGUCAAGCAGCAGCAUUUGUUAAAUGAAAAGGGUUGUACUCAGGACUGUGAGAGAGAAGAAGCAUCUGCCUUUACAAAGACAGUGUAACCUAGUCGUUUAGAGCUUGAGCCUGGAGUCAGAUGGAUCUAGGUUCAGAUCCAGCCACACCACUUAGGAGCUCCUUGACAAUGAACAGUAGCUUAGUCUCUCCAAGCCUCUCAGCCUUCUUAUUUGUGAAAUUGAAAUAAUCUUAAUAGCAGUACAUUCUUCACAUACAAUAUGAGGAAUGAAUGGAAUAUUAUGGAUAAAUUAUUUACCGUGUGCCAGGCACCACACUAAAUAUUAGUCUUUGUUAUUAAAGAUCACAUAAUCAAAUGAGAGGAUCAACACAAAGAAAAAAGAGCAAAGCCGUGAAAGGCCAUAGAAACAUUGUCAUGUAAAACACAAAAUGGAGUAGAAGUUCCAAAGCUAAAGAAGGUGCUCAGAUGAUUAGUCAGGCGAGUGUGUGAGACUUCAUAAAAGAGUUCUCAAGUCUAUGGAAGAAGAUUGUUUUUGCUUCACCUUGUGUAAUCAAGGCACUCGGGUUUGGAAAACGAUUGAAACAGAGAUAUUUAGGAGUCAUUAUAGACCUCUGAGCAAAAGAAUGAUCUAGGAGCUGGCUUUCCUGCUACACGUAAAGAGACAAGUUUUACUAAGUGAGAAUAGCCAUAUCCUGGAAUAAGUAAACCAAUCAGACAGGAAGAAGAAGCCUCGGGGGGCCCAGCAGAUGAGAGAACUAGGGCCAGGCAACAGGCUGAACAGUCAGCCAGAGAGGAGUCGUCAGGGGUGAUGCCGAAUGCUGGGAGAUUAGUGGUCAGGGGCUCCAAGCGAGAGAUAUCAUGAGGUAGGUUUUCUUCUUUGAAGGUGGGGAAAGAUCAAGUGCAGACUGAGCUGUGGCCAGCGCUUACAGACCAGGAAUCCACACUAGCUCUAAUCAGAGAGCCCUUGGUGUGCGGGAACUGCCAGUUUGCCGACGUGAAAAGAGCCCCAGACUGGGUACUGGUGAGCCUUGAAGUCGCACCCCAGCUCUGCCACUCAGUGAGCACGGCAACAUCCCUAAUCCUGACCAGCCAUGGAGAGGUUCGGUUCUUACAAGGAAAAUGAGUGAAUGUGGGAAUGACUCACCACAUUGGGAAAACAAAACUCACAUCCUGCUGAUGGUUGGCUGAGGACUGUCAUGUCCACAUACAAAGAAAAGCAUGUGGCACAGUUGUAGGACAAAGAUUCAUUGACUUGAAGUUUGAAUGCCACUCAUAGACAUUUCAACGUGAAGAACCCUCCAAAGUGGUCAGCCAUACACUGUCACCUCUGGAGACUGGUUCGAAAGGACUCUUCAGUAAAGGGAAAAUCCUGCAAUUCCGAGUUCCUCUCACUUAACAUGUUGCUGAGUGCACCAUUACGUGCUAAGGAAACUGGAAUAAUUCCGAUCAGACUGGAUGAACUCCUGGCAGGCCUUGUAACAUGCUGUUAGUUCCAGAAUGUUAAGACACAGCAGAACACUGGUCAGUGUUUGCCUGUGUACACAACCUAACUUUCCUUUGUGAUCAGGUGUGAUCAUUAAGAUGGUUUUGAAGUAUAGGCAGUGGUCACAGAGCUAGACUGCACAGCUGUGUUGUCAGACCAUUUGUUUAACCUUACUUACAAAUACCUUACACAUUUUGCUGUUUAGUUUUAUAAGUUGUGUUCUUUAACAGGUGUUAAUAGAAAUUGGAGGGGGAUGCUUUCUUUUGGGUAUGUGUUAAACCAGCAGACCUCUUUGUUGGGAUAUUCCUAGCAAUACUGUGUAGAGAAGCUUGCAAAGUCACAUACAAAUAUUAGAGAAUUCCAGCCUACCUAAAACUUUCAGGAAAUGAAUUUGCAAAACCACGAGGAAGUGAACAGAUCUGAUUUUUUUUUCCACUGAUAAUUUCUAGAACAGUAAAUUCAGUUGUGAUUAAUUUGUUUAGGUAGAAGAAAAGUUUUGUUUUGUUUUUUUUUUUCCUUUCACUGAGAUUUGAGAUACUGUAAGUUUUUUACUUGGUAUGUUAUUCCAGACAUGACUUAACAGUUAAGACACGGUACCUAGAUUUAAGUCUAGUUGUUCUCUAAGCUCUCAUUUUGGGCUAAAGCUAAAAAAAAAAGAUGAGUUUUUAUGUGAUUUGAGAGGGCAAAUACUCAAUGUUACAGAGUUAUGUAUUUUGAUCCUUCAUACCAAGUAUCCCUCUGAAGGUGUCUGCAGUUGCCACCAGCUACUUGAGGAACAAAAGAAAUGGUCUCCGUGUAUUUAGCCAGCCACCUACUAGAAAUACGUUCUACCUUGAGAAGUCUCCCUAUCCUCUUGCAGUGCCUGUUGGCACAAAGCAAAGUGGUUUCAGCCAAAGGGAAGAGAAAGCCAAUCCUUAGUUUGCAAAACCCACCUAACCUUUGCUAAGCAUGACCCUCAUUGCUUUCUCUUUAAUGGUAGUGAAACUGGAUGUCAAAAUGGUGCCAACCGGGAUUUUGUUUGCUCUC